rnacentral:rRNA from 1 species
AUACCUGCAGCUCAAGUGGUGGCCGCUAUUAUUGGGCCUAAAACGUCCGUAGCCGGUUUAGUAAAUGCUUGGGUAAAUUGUGUAGCUUAACUAUACGAAUACCGGGUAGACUGCUAAACUUGGGACCGGGAGAGGCUAGAGGUACUCCUAGGGUAGAGGUGAAAUUCUGUAAUCCUAGGGGGACCACCAGUGGCGAAGGCGUCUAGCUAGAACAGGUCUGACGGUGAGGGACGAAGCCCUGGGGCGCAAACCGGAUUAGAUACCCGAGUAGUCC